GGGACUAUAGAUUAAUUGGUAAAUCUUACGCUUUGCAUGCGUAUGUUAUCGGUUCAAUUCCGAUUGGUUCCA
rnacentral:tRNA from 1 species